rnacentral:rRNA from 1 species
ACCAGACUCCUACGGGAGGCAGCAGUGGGGGAUAUUGGACAAUGGGGGGAACCCUGAUCCAGCGACGCCGCGUGAGUGAAGAAGUCUUUCGGUAUGUAAAGCUCUAUCAGCAGGGAAGAUAAUGACGGUACCUGAGUAAGAAGCCCCGGCUAACUACGUGCCAGCAGCCGCGGUAAUACGUAGGGGGCAAGCGUUAUCCGGAUUUACUGGGUGUAAAGGGAGCGUAGACGGCAUGGCAAGUCUGAAGUGAAAGCCCGGGGCUCAACCGCGGGACUGCUUUGGAAACUGUUAAGCUGGAGUGCAGGAGAGGUAAGUGGAAUUCCUAGUGUGGCGGUGAAAUGCGUAGAUAUUAGGAGGAACACCAGUGGCGAAGGCGGCUUACUGGACUGUAACUGACGUUGAGGCUCGAAAGCGUGGGGAGCAAACAGGAUUAGAUACCCGAGUA